rnacentral:rRNA from 1 species
GGGUUUGAUCCUGGCUCAGGAUGAACGCUGGCGGCGUGCUUAACACAUGCAAGUCGAACGAACCUUCGGGUUAGUGGCGGACGGGUGAGUAACGCGUGGGAAUCUGCCCUCAGGAGGGGGAUAACGGUUGGAAACGGCCGCUAAUACCCCAUAUGCCGAGAGGUGAAAUGAAUUUCGCCUGAGGAUGAGCCCGCGUCUGAAUAGCUAGUUGGUGAGGUAAGAGCUCACCAAGGCAUCGAACAGUAGCUGGUCUGAGAGGAUGAUCAGCCACACUGGGACUGAGACACGGCCCAGACUCCUACGGGAGGCAGCAGUGGGGAAUUUUCCGCAAUGGGCGAAAGCCUGACGGAGCAACGCCGCGUGAGGGAUGAAGGCCUCUGGGCUGUAAACCUCUUUUAUCAAGGAAGAAGAUCUGACGGUACUUGAUGAAUAAGCCACGGCUAAUUCCGUGCCAGCAGCCGCGGUAAUACGGGAGUGGCAAGCGUUAUCCGGAAUUAUUGGGCGUAAGGCGUCCGCAGGCGGCCCUACAAGUCUGCUGUUAAAAAGUGGAGCUUGACUCCAUCAUGGCAGUGGAAACUGUUGGGCUUGAGUGUGGUAGGGGCAGAGGGAAUUCCCGGUGUAGCGGUGAAAUGCGUAGAUAUCGGGAAGAACACCAGUGGCGAAGGCGCUCUGCUGGGCCAUCACUGACGCUCAUGGACGAAUGCCAGGGGAGCGAAAGGGAUUAGAUACCCCUGUAGUUCUGGCCGUAAACGAUGAACACUAGGUGUCGGGGGAAUCGACCCCUCCGGUGUCGUAGCCAACGCGUUAAGUGUUCCGCCUGGGGAGUACGCACGCAAGUGUGAAACUCAAAGGAAUUGACGGGGGCCCGCACAAGCGGUGGAGUAUGUGGUUAAAUUCGAUGCAACGCGAAGAACCUUACCAGGGUUUGACAUCCUGCGAUUCUCUUGGAAACUUGAGAGUGCCUUCGGGAGCGCAGUG